GUGGGGAAUAUUGGACAAUGGGGGGAACCCUGAUCCAGCCAUGCCGCGUGUGUGAAGAAGGCCUUUUGGUUGUAAAGCACUUUAAGCGAGGAGGAGGCUACCGAGAUUAAUACUCUUGGAUAGUGGACGUUACUCGCAGAAUAAGCACCGGCUAACUCUGUGCCAGCAGCCGCGGUAAUACAGAGGGUGCAAGCGUUAAUCGGAUUUACUGGGCGUAAAGCGCGCGUAGGUGGCGAAUUAAGUCAAAUGUGAAAUCCCCGAGCUUAACUUGGGAAUUGCAUUCGAUACUGGUUGGCUAGAGUAUGGGAGAGGAUGGUAGAAUUCCAGGUGUAGCGGUGAAAUGCGUAGAGAUCUGGAGGAAUACCGAUGGCGAAGGCAGCCAUCUGGCCUAAUACUGACACUGAGGUGCGAAAGCAUGGGGAGCAAACAGGAUUAGAAACCCUUGUAGUCC
rnacentral:rRNA from 1 species